rnacentral:rRNA from 1 species
GAUGAACGCUAGCGGCAGGCCUAACACAUGCAAGUCGAGGGGCAGCGGGAAAGUAGCUUGCUACUUUUGCCGGCGACCGGCGCACGGGUGCGUAACGCGUAUGUAACCUACCUUAAACAGGGGCAUAACACUGAGAAAUUGGUACUAAGUUCCCCAUAACACUUUGGGAGGCAUCUUCUGAAGUUGAAAGUUCCGGCGGUUUAAGAUGGACAUGCGUUGUAUUAGUUAGUUGGUGAGGUAACGGCUCACCAAGACGACGAUACAUAGGGGGACUGAGAGGUUAACCCCCCACAUUGGUACUGAGACACGGACCAAACUCCUACGGGAGGCAGCAGUGAGGAAUAUUGGUCAAUGGACGCAAGUCUGAACCAGCCAUGCCGCGUGCAGGAUGACGGCUCUAUGAGUUGUAAACUGGCUUUUGUAUGAGGGUAAAUGUAGGUACGUGUACCUAUUUGAAAGUAUCAUACGAAUAAGGAUCGGCUAACUCCGUG